rnacentral:rRNA from 1 species
AAGCAUAUCAAUAAGCGGAGGAAAAGAAACCAACAGGGAUUGCCUUAGUAACGGCGAGUGAAGCGGCAACAGCUCAAAUUUGAAAUCUGGCUACUUUGUAGUCCGAGUUGUAAUUUGUAGAGGAUGCUUUUGGUGAGGUGCUUUCUGAGUUCCCUGGAACGGGACGCCAGAGAGGGUGAGAGCCCCGUACAGUUAGCAACUGAUCCUUUGUAUAGCUCCUUCGACGAGUCGAGUAGUUUGGGAAUGCUGCUCUAAAUGGGAGGUAUAUCUCUUCUAAAGCUAAAUAUAGGCUAGAGACCGAUAGCGCACAAGUAGAGUGAUCGAAAGAUGAAAAGCACUUUGAAAAGAGAGUUAAACAGCACGUGAAAUUGUUGAAAGGGAAGCGCCUAUGACCAGACUUGUUUCUAUCAGUUUUGGUAGUUUUCGGACUGCUUUACUCUGUUAGUACAGGCCAACAUCAGUUUGUUGUCGGGGAGAAAGGCUUAGGGAAUGUGGCUCCCUCGGGAGUGUUAUAGACCUUUGCAUAAUACCCUUCGGCAGACUGAGGACCGCGCUUCGGCAAGGAUGUUGGCGUAAUGGUCAUCAGCGACCCGUCUUGAAACACGGACCAAGGAGUCAACCUUAUAUGCGAGUGUUUGGGUGUAAAACCCCAGCGCGUAAUGAAAGUGAACGUAGAUGAGAGCUUCGGCGCAUCAUCGACCGAUUCUGAUGUUCUCGGAUGGAUUUGAGUAAGAGCAUAUAGGGUUGGACCCGAAAGAAGGUGAACUAUGCUUGUAUAGGGUGAAGCCAGAGGAAACUCUGGUGGAGGCUCGCAGCGGUUCUGACGUGCAAAUCGAUCGUCAAAUAUGAGCAUGGGGGCGAAAGACUAAUCGAACCUUCUAGUAGCUGGUUCCAGCCGAAG